rnacentral:rRNA from 1 species
UACGAAGGGGGCUAGCGUUGCUCGGAAUCACUGGGCGUAAAGCGCACGUAGGCGGCUUUUUAAGUCAGGGGUGAAAUCCUGGAGCUUAACUCCAGAACUGCCUUUGAUACUGAGGAGCUAGAGUCCGGAAGAGGUGAGUGGAACUGCGAGUGUAGAGGUGAAAUUCGUAGAUAUUCGCAAGAACACCAGUGGCGAAGGCGGCUCACUGGCCCGAUACUGACGCUGAGGUGCGAAAGCGUGGGGAGCAAACAGG